AUUGAACGCUGGCGGCAUGCUUUACACAUGCAAGUCGAACGGUAACAGGGUGCUUGCACCGCUGACGAGUGGCGAACGGGUGAGUAAUGCGUCGGAACGUGCCGUGUAGUGGGGGAUGACGCAGCGAAAGUUGUGCUAAUACCGCAUACGUACUGAGGUAGAAAGUGGGGGACCUUCGGGCCUCACGCUAUUCGAGCGGCCGACGUCUGAUUAGCUAGUAGGUGAGGUAAAGGCUCACCUAGGCGACGGUAAGUAGCGGGUCUGAGAGGAUGGUCCGCCACACUGGGACUGAGACACGGCCCAGACUCCUACGGGAGUCAGCAGUGGGGAAUUUUGGACAAUGGGCGAAAGCCUGAUCCAGCCAUGCCGCGUGUCUGAAGAAGGCCUUCGGGUUGUAAAGGACUUUUGUCAGGGAGGAAAUCCCUAGUGCUAAUAACACUGGGGGAUGACAGUACCUGAAGAAUAAGCACCGGCUAACUACGUGCCAGCCGCCGCAGUAA
rnacentral:rRNA from 1 species